AUGGAGACGGUGCAUACAAAGGAGGCUAUGGGAACCACUUGUCCUGAGGAUAACGGCCAAGGUAAAGAUGGAUCAACCACGGAUGAACAGUACGAUCCACGGAUACCUCCUUCACCUCCAAGCGAUCUCAAAUCACUCAAGGAGUGGCCGAACAAAACAAGUGCCAUACCUGCUAAUUCCAGAGCAACAUCCACAAUCAUCCCAGACGGUACUCCCCAGUGGGUACCUGACAUAUUCUUCGAUAUAUUACCCCACUUGCGGCCAAUCCUGAAAAGGGAUAGUGUCAGGUCUUUCCUCCGCUUCUUAAAUCAGAAUGGAAGGGACAUGACACUGGGUUACAUCAUCAAACCAGAAGCUUUAAACGAGCUAGUCAUCGCUAAUGCACUGCGAUGUGCCAAAGUUGUCUUGGUGGGCAAGAAUGCUGAGCUGCAUGGGUUCCGGGCCGAUCCCAACUGCAUGACUCAAUUUGGGUUCUUCCCCCUGCACCUAGCUGCUGAAAUGUUCUCUGUCGAUAUGAUUGAGUUGCUCUUGCACCAUGGCACGUCGGCCAAUUUGCACACAUCCGGUGCUUUAGUCAUUGACAACCUACUCCCGGUCCAUGUUGCGGUUGAGAACACUUGCCUGCAUAAGUACCUGGAGGACAGUCUACAUCCUAAUCGAGAGAAUAUGGGUUACAGUCAUGCAGAUAUCAACUAUAUCCUGAAGCUCAUUCAUAUCCUCUGCCUACCGGAAAUGAAGCUCUUCUUGGAUACGAUUAGGCUGCUAGCCAAACAUACAGAUAAUUUGUCAGAUGAGGUCUGCAAUUACAUAAUUGAUGGGAAGCUUAUCCAAACAGCCGUUUUGCUCCUAGCAGCUCAAGAGCAGAUCCGUGGUGUAUCUUCCCCCAAGAAAGACCUCAAUAGUAAGCCAGAUGAGUUUGCUAUUAUCACUAACUGUGUUGUGGGCAAAAUUACCUCCAUACAAUUGGAGAUGUGUCAAAAAGGAAAGGAACUGGAGCCACUAGAGGCGAAAAAGAAGCUUUUCGAUAUGACACUGACGCUUGUUCAUGUAAUUUCCCAAGCUGGUGAAGCUCUUGAUUCUUACAUUCGGGAUCAUCCCAAGCUGGCCGCGUCAUUCUAUCAGGACCGGGCUCUAACAUGGAAGGUGCCCUGUAUCAUUCCAAUUUCCCAUGUGGAGGUCCUUGAACACGUCUCGUUGAUAUUAAAGGAUUAUGGUCUUUGUUCUGGAGAGGGCAUAGAUAUUGGAAAUCUCUGCCCCUAUGAGAACGUGGUUUCUUCUGAAGAGCUGCCUCGCAAACUUGGACCGAUGGCCAGGAUGAAAGCAGGCACAGAUGAGCCUUGUUUGGAAAAUGUAAAGGCUAAAGGGAAGAAAGGUCCUCGGGGAUGGGAGCUCAAAUUGGCAAGGAGAAGCUUCUUCCCAUACUGGAGAUCAGUGUUAACGUCCCAGUUUCAUGUGAAGGAGGACAUCAAUAGCUUGAAUAAAUCAACUAGACACGUAUCAACUAAAUCAACUAGAUGUCGUUAUCUUAUUUGCAGUGGCGGAGCAUAG
rnacentral:rRNA from 1 species